rnacentral:rRNA from 1 species
GAGAUAGCUGGUUCUCCCCGAAAUAGCUUUAGGGCUAGCCUCAGGGAAAAGAUUGCAGGCGGUAGAGCACUGAUCAGGAGAGGGACCUACCCGGUUACCAAACCCAGUCAAACUCCGAAUGGCUGCAAUCAUACCUGGGAGUCAGACUGCGACUAAUAAGGGCCGCAGUCAAAAGGGAAACAGCCCAGACCAUCAGCUAAGGUCCCCAAUGCCGUGCUAAGUGGCGAAGGAUGUGGCAUUUCAUAAACAACCAGGAUGUUGGCUCAGAAGCAGCCACCAUUUAAAGAGUGCGUAAUAGCUCACUGGUCGAGAGACGCUGCGCCGAAAAUGUCCGGGGCUCAAGCACGGAACCGAAGCUAUGGCAUGAUAGCAAUAUCAUGGGUAGGGGAGCGUUCUUAUAAGGAAGAAGCAUGACCGGAAGGACAUGUGGACGAAUAAGAAGUGAGAAUGCCGGUAUGAGUAUCGAAAAGAAAGGUGAGAAUCCUUUCCACCGAAAGCCCGAGGGUUCCUGAGCAACGAUCGUCGACUCAGGGUAAGUCGGGACCUAAGCCGAGGCGAGAAGCGUAGGCGAUGGACAACAGGUUGAAAUUCCUGUACCGGAUCAAGUCGAUCGAGCGAAGGAGCGACGCAGGAGGGCACAUGAUCGCGCGGCUGGAAGAGCGCGUCCAAGUGCGUAUGUUGCUGCAGAGGAAAACCCCUGUAGCUAAAAGCAGAGACAUGAUGGGGAGUUAAAGGAAACUUUGACGAACUCAUGGAUCCCACACUGCCAAGAAAAACUUCUAGCGAGACAAGAUCCGCCCGUACCGUAAACCGACACAGGUAGGCGGGGAGAGAAUCCUAAGGUGCGCGGGAAAACCCUCGUUAAGGAACUCGGCAAAUUGCAUCCGUAACCUAGGGAGAAGGAUGGCCCCCUGUCAGUGAAGAGCAGAAACGCUCAGAGCUAAAAGGGGCGGCAGAAAAGAGGCCCAAGCAACUGUUUACCAAAAACACAGGUGCCUGCGAAAGCGAAAGCUGAAGUAUAGGUGCUGACGCCUGCCCGGUGCCGGAAGGUUAAGGAGAGGUGUGAGCGAAAGCGAAGCAUCGAACUGAAGCCCCGGUGAACGGCGGCCGUAACUAUAACGGUCCUAAGGUAGCGAAAUUCCUUGUCGGGUAAGUUCCGACCCGCAUGAAAGGCGUAAUGAUUUGGGCACUGUCUCAACGAGGGGCCCGGUGAAAUUGAAAUACCUGUGAAGAUGCAGGUUACCCGCGACUGGACAGAAAGACCCCAUGGAGCUUCACUGCAGCUUGAGAUUGAAUCCCGGUGACAGAUGCACAGGAUAGGUGGGAGGCGCCGAAGCAUUGCCCUAGGGCGGUGCGGAGCCGAUGUUGGGAUACCACCCUUCUGUUGCUGAGAUUCUAACGCGAGGAGUAACGACCCUGCGGACCCUCUCAGGCAGGCGGUUUGACUGGGGCGGUCGCCUCCGAAAGAGUAACGGAGGCGCCCAAAGGUUCCCUCAGGCCGGACAGAAACCGGCCGAAGAGUGCAAAGGCAGAAGGGAGCUUGACUGCGAGACCAACAAGUCGAGCAGAGACGAAAGUCGGGCUUAGUGAUCCGGUGGUACUGAGUGGAAAGGCCAUCGCUCAACGGAUAAAAGCUACCCUGGGGAUAACAGGC